rnacentral:tRNA from 1 species
GGAGAGAUGGCCGAGUGGUUCAAGGCGUAGCAUUGG